UACGGAGGAUGCAAGCGUUAUCCGGAAUCAUUGGGCGUAAAGCGUCCGCAGGUGGCAGUUCAAGUCUGCUGUCAAAGACUGGGGCUUAACCCUAGAAAGGCAGUGGAAACUGAGCAGCUAGAGUGCGGUAGGGGUAGAGGGAAUUCCCGGUGUAGCGGUGAAAUGCGUAGAGAUCGGGAAGAACACCAGUGGCGAAAGCGCUCUGCUGGACCUGCACUGACACUGAGGGACGAAAGCUAGGGGAGCGAAUGGG
rnacentral:rRNA from 1 species